UUGAGGUAUUUGUUGAAGAGCCACCGAGAAGUGUUUAAAGCGUCUCCUCUACUUACAACUGGAAAUAUAUUUCUACGGCUUUGCCAAUCAUUGGUAAGUUUUAUCCACUCUCUUCUCCAUUCCUUUAGUUUGAAAACCUCGCCUUUCUCUAAGCUUUCUAUUAAAUAUUUGAAAUAAAUAGCAGCUCUGGGACCAUAAUAAUCAUGCAGAAGCCCGCUCCAGUACUUGUUUCCUGUGAAAAGUAGUAAAAACAGAAUGCAAUCGAUUAGUAUGUCUAUAUAUUACACUGCGUUUCUUUUCUUUUUCUCUGUUAAUUGUUGUUCGAUACCAUAGUCACGAAGCAGACUGGCUUCCUCAUAUGUGUUGUCAAACCACAUGGUGAUUUGAGUUCUAGCAUUCCACUCAAACUGAAAAUGUUUAGAACUGUAAAUCAAUACAAGUAUAUAUAGGAUAAGAUGGAUUUCAAUUAUAUGCCAAUAGAAUUAAAUCAAACCUGUCUCUUCUGUUCUUCAUUUCGAGCUAGUUGUAUUGCACUAUCUAACCAGGGACCUAGAAGAAACCCAUCAUGGCAAGCCAACAAUGCGUCCAAAUCUUCCACCAGGUCCAAAAAUCUUUGGCUGAGUAGAGUCACUCCAUGGAUAUCUUGUGAUUGGUAUGCCUCAAUGACCUUAUAGAACAGCUGAUUUGCAUAUUUUGCUAAAACUUGUCUGGUGAGAUCAACUAGGUCAUACCUGUGUAAAGAAUGAGUAGCAUGGAUCUAUAUUAAACCUUGACAUACAAUUAGACAACACCAAGCUACUUAAAGAGGAGUGAGAAUUCUUAUUUAACCGACUUCUCUCACCUAUAAGUUCUACUUUUUGAAAGUUCAUCUCCACUAGAUAUAAAUAGCUCCAAUGCAUAAAUUACUUCAGAUGUUGAAUACCAUAAGUGAGGUCGAUCAAAUGAAUCAGUUAUUUCCUUGAUAAUUGCUCUUGAGUUUGGCUUGGCAUAGGGACGAGAGUGUUCAUUAUGUACUGAAAGUAAGGAAGGGUCCACAUCCGGGAAUGCUACAAUAACAUCUCUGUUUUUGUCCUGUUCCAAUAAACCAAAAAUGUAAAAAUGAAACAUGAUCUUCCAAUUUAUGCAUGUGCAGUAGAAAUGGAACAUACAUAUGCAGCUGAGGUUGUCACUUGUUUACAUAAGUCAUUUGUCAGAUUAAAGGAGAACAAAAGAUCGAGAUAAGCCGAUGUCGUGUGAUUAGUCCUUUUACAUUGUUGAGUAAGGAGAAACAAAAUAUACAUAAUCGCAUUAAAUAAAGGGCCUUAUAUUGUAGGAGUGGAAGAAAUUUCUAGCACCGGGUUAUAAGUAACAUCCAACUACUUACAUAGGCUCCAUCUGUGCAAUUGUAAAUAGUAUGAUACAAAACAUUCCAUCCCUCUUGUACCAAAGGAACUUGUCUACCAUAUCGUCUAGUUGAAUACAAAUCAACCCAUGCCUGAAAUAACAAACACCAUUAUGCAUUUCAGUCUGAAAACAACACCAAAUUAGUGAAAAUAGAAAUUAAAUAAAACAAAGUAUGGACUAAGGGAAGCAUGUUGGAAUUAUAUCUGAUGUCUAAAGUUACAGAUUAGAGGUAAAUAACUAAAUUCAUGUGGUAGAAAGUAUCCCCUAAACCAUAUGUGGCAAAAUACUGGACAUCCACAUUGUGAGGGGUUCCAUAGGUCACGAGUCACGACAGCUCCCUGGAGAUCCCACUCGCACGGGAACAUGGUAAAACCUUGAGUGAAAUAGUGCAACCAAUUGAUACUAAGAUUCUAUCAUUGUUACCUUAACAUCAAUUUUGUUGUGCUGAAAUGCCAUUUCAGACAUCAGAUCAUAAACAAUGGGAUUUUGUUCGAUACCUUCCAUCGACAUUCCAACUCCAACCUACAUAAAAUCAAGCAGGUAUAAGAGUGUGUCAGAAAAAGAAUUCCUCAAAAAAAUAGUUAUAGAAAAGCUUUUACCAAAAUUACUUGUGUAAAUAAUAAUAUUAUGCUUUUAGCAUUUAUAGUAGCUUUAAUGAGUUUUGUUUAGGUUUUAAUACACCUGACAGUCAUGAUAUUAAUAGAUAAUAUAGCAUAUGGAUUUCAUAUCUAUUUUUGUGAGCCUAUAAUCUCUAUUUGGUUUUCGUUAAUAAUUGUAAUUCAACGGUGACACUAAAUACAGAAUUGAGUCCGUCAUCAAAAAAGAAUAACUUGCCAUUGUUGAGUUAACACUUGUUCGUGCUUCAAUUGGACCAGAUGCUACAGCAUCUAAUAUCCCAUACAUCUCAAUGUUUCCUGCAAAAUUGUGCAGCAUACACCUGUCAAGCACAACACACACACUCAAUUUAAAGAACAUUAAAAAAAAAUACAAUAAAAAGGAAUAAGGAUGCAUACAUCAGAGACUUGGAUAAUCUAUAAAUAUAACUAACAUCAAAGCUCUAAAUCUUAGUGUAUGUUAAACUAUAGGAGGCACAGGAUCCCCCCGAUAGCCAACAAACGUAAAAUUGUGCAAAUAUUCACCUAUAGUGAGAAAGGUGAGAAGUUAUAACUUUUCAUAGAGGAUAAAUAUGUUGUGCAAAUAUCUUUUCAAAGAAGACAUAAAUUGUGCAUAUAUUCACUAUAUAAAUCUUCACAUAUAUAUACUUAUUAUUAUAUAUAUAUAUAUAUUUAUAUAUAUUAUAUAUUAUUAAUAUAUAUUUUAAUAUUAUAUAUAUAUAUAUUGUGUGUGUGUUUUGGAGAAAAUUAUACUCUCCUCUUCUCUGUAAAAAAACUUGAACCACGCCUGUUAAAAUUUACCAUUUUCAUUCUUGAUAAGUAAAUAUAGAUUACACUUUAUCCCAUUUUAAAUAAAUUAAGUUUCUUCUGCAUCUUUCUUUUAUCUGUUUUUAAUCAUCAAUGUCAGUAACAUACAGUUUUCAAAUCUUCCAGUUCCAAAUCGUAUUUAACUAUCUUCUCAUUAAAAGGCUUGUUUACAUUAAAAUAAAAUAAAGUGUAAUAUAUGCUUACUUGCCAAGGAUGAAGUUGUAGAUUUUAACAUAAGAGAAGAGAAAAGUGUAAUUCAAACUUCCCUCAUGAAAGGGGAUAUAAUUUACCCUAUUUUUAUUUAAAAUUAUAUGAUGGAAAAUGACUUUCCAGAUGUAAGGAACACCAUAAAACUGCUCUGAGGUAGUCCAUAUGGGUUUAACUUCAGCAAACAGAUCAAGAACAACCAGAUUUCCCACCGGAACAGAAUGCAAAAGAGCCUGAAAACAAGCACACACAAAAAUCAUAUAUGAAAGAUAAUUAAGUUAGAAUAAAUAACCAGGAUGAACUCCUAAUUCUAGAAAGCAUAUAUAUUGAAUAGAGAAUCCACUUCUUCAAAUGUGUAUAU
rnacentral:lncRNA from 1 species